CGAGUCGUAGCCCCUGCUUUUGUGGGCUGCUCGAGUGGUAAACGGUUGACUACCACGUGAUUAAACUGCCCUUGACUUUGGGAUAUCUUCCGGAAACUGGGGCUAUUACCGGAUAGGAGCUCCUGCUGCAUGGUGGGGGUUUUAAAGUUUCCUCGGUUGUGGAUGGACUCACGGCUUAUCAGCUUGUUGGUGGGCUACUGGCUUACCAAGGCUUUCACGGGUAGCCGGCCUGAGAGGCUGACCGGACUCAUUGUGACUGAGAUACGACCCUAACUCAUACGGGAGGCAUCAGUGGGUAAUAUUGCUGAAUGAGCGGAAGCCUGAUGCACCACCGCCGCGUGCUGAAUGACUGCCUACUGGUUGUAAACCGCUUUCCCCUGUAACAAAUCGUGAUUGACGGUCAUGGUUAAUGAAUCACCCGCGAACUGCGUGCCAGCACCCACGGCGAUACGUACGCUACAAGCGUUGUCCGGAUUUAUUGGGCGUAAAGGGCUCGUAGGUGGUUGAUCGCGUCGGAAGUGUAAUCUUGGGGCUUAACCCUGAGCGUGCUUUCGAUACGGGUUGACUUGAGGAAGGUAGGGGAGAAUGGAAUUCCUGGUGGAGCGGUGGAAUGCGCAGAUAUCAGGAGGAACACCAUUGGCAAAAGCGGUUCUCUGGGCCUUUCCUGACUCUGAUGAGCGAAAGCGUGAGGAGCGAACACGCUUAGAUACCCUGGGAGUCCACGCUGUAGACGGUGGGUACUAAGUGUGGGGUCCAUUCGACGGGUUCCGUGCCGUAGCUAACGCUCUAAGUCCCCGCCUGGGGAGUACGGCCGCAGGCUAAAACUCAAAGGAAUUGACGGGGCCCCGUACAAGCGGCGGACAUGCCGAUGAAUUCUAUGCACGCGUAGAACCUUACCUGAGUUUGACAUGGAUCGGGAGUGCUCAGAGAUCGGUGCUGCCUCUUUGGGGUCCGUUCACAGGUGGUGCAUGG
rnacentral:rRNA from 1 species